UCGUAACAAGGUUUCCGUAGGUGAACCUGCGGAAGGAUCAUUACCGAGUGAGGGCCCUCUGGGUCCAACCUCCCACCCGUGUUUAUUUUACCUUGUUGCUUCGGCGGGCCCGCCUUAACUGGCCGCCGGGGGGCUCACGCCCCCGGGCCCGCGCCCGCCGAAGACACCCUCGAACUCUGUCUGAAGAUUGAAGUCUGAGUGAAAAUAUAAAUUAUUUAAAACUUUCAACAACGGAUCUCUUGGUUCCGGCAUCGAUGAAGAACGCAGCGAAAUGCGAUACGUAAUGUGAAUUGCAAAUUCAGUGAAUCAUCGAGUCUUUGAACGCACAUUGCGCCCCCUGGUAUUCCGGAGGGCAUGCCUGUCCGAGCGUCAUUGCUGCCCUCAAGCCCGGCUUGUGUGUUGGGCCCCGUCCUCCGAUCUCCGGGGGACGGGCCCGAAAGGCAGCGGCGGCACCGCGUCCGGUCCUCGAGCGUAUGGGGCUUUGUCACCCGCUCUGUAGGCCCGGCCGGCGCUUGCCGAUCAACCCAAAUUUUUAUCCAGGUUGACCUCGGAUCAGGUAGGGAUACCCGCUGAACUUAAGCAUAUCAAUAA
rnacentral:misc_RNA from 1 species